CUCACUGCCUGGCCUUUACUGCACACUGUACAAAGAUGGAGAGAGAUUUUUUAGGGUAAGACUAAGAUAGAGGGUGAAGAGGAGAGAGGUUCAGGUCAGGGUAAGACUAAGAUAGAGGAUGAAGAGCAGAGAGGUUCAGGUCAGGGUAAGACUAAGAUAGAGGGUGAAGAGGAGAGAGGUUCAGGUCAGGGUAAGACUAAGAUAGAGGGUGAAGAGGAGAGAGGUUCAGGUCAGGGUAAGACUAAGAUAGAGGGUGAAGAGCAGAGAGGUUCAGGUCAGGGUAAGACUAAGAUAGAGGGUGAAGAGCAGAGAGGUUCAGGUCAGGGUAAGACUAAGAUAGAGGAUGAAGAGCAGAGAGGUUCAGGUCAGGGUAAGACUAAGAUAGAGGGUGAAGAGGAGAGAGGUUCAGGUCAGGGUAAGACUAAGAUAGAGGGUGAAGAGGAGAGAGGUUCAGGUCAGGGUAAGACUAAGAUAGAGGGUGAAGAGCAGAGAGGUUCAGGUCAGGGUAAGACUAAGAUAGAGGGUGAAGAGGAGAGAGGUUCAGGUCAGGGUAAGUCUAAGAUAGAGGGUGAGGAGGAGAACGUUUUAGGGGUGAGGAGAGAAUGAGAGAUAGAGAAGUACUGUAUCAGGGUAGAGAAUAAGAGGAGUUGGCUCAAGUCCAGGGCUGGCUUGUAAAAGGAGCAGGCCAGGGGUAGUAGGGGUCCCAGGGCUGGCUUAUUAAGGAGCAGGCCCAAGGUCAUUAGGGGUCAUCCCAGGGUUGGCUUAUUGAUGAGCAGGCCCAAGGUCAUAGGGAUCAUGCAGGGCUGGUUUGUGAGAGGAACAGGCCCGGGGUCGUUGGGUUCAUCCCAGGGCUGGCUUGUGAAAGGAGCAGGCCUGGGGAAGUAGGGUCAUCCCAGGGCUGGCUUGUGAAAGGAGCAGGCCUGGGGUAGUAGGGUCAUCCCAGGGCUGGCUUGUGAAAGGAGCAGGCCUGGGGUAGUAGGGUCAUCCCAGGGCUGGCUUGUGAAAGGAACAGGCCUGGGGUAGUAGGGUCAUCCCAGGGCUGGCUUGUGAAAGGAACAGGCCUGGGGUAGUAGGGUCAUCCCAGGGCUGGCUUGUGAAAGGAACAGGCCUGGGGUAGUAGGGUCAUCCCAGGGCUGGCUUGUGAAAGGAAAAGGCCUGGGGUAGUAGGGUCAUCCCAGGGCUGGCUUGUGAAAGGAGCAGGCCUGGGGUAGUAGAGUCAUCCCAGGGCUGGCUUGUGAAAGGAACAGGCCUGGGGCAGUAGGGUCAUCCCAAGGCUGGCUUGUGAAAGGAACAGGCCUGGGGUAGUAGGGUCAUCCCAGGGCUGGCUUGUGAAAGGAGCAGGCCUGGGGUAGUAGGGUCAUCCCAGGGCUGGCUUGUGAAAGGAACAGGCCUGGGGUAGUAGGGUCAUCCCAGGGCUGGCUUGUGAAAGGAACAGGCCUGGAGUAGUAGGGUCAUCCCAGGGCUGGCUUGUGAAAGGAACAGGCCUGGGGUAGUAGGGUCAUCCCAGGGCUGGCUUGUGAAAGGAACAGGCCUGGGGUAGUAGGGUCAUCCCAGGGCUGGCUUGUGAAAGGAACAGGCCUGGGGUAGUAGGGUCAUCCCAGGGCUGGCUUGUGAAAGG